AUCUAGAUGGUACAGUGGUUUGAACAUUGGACUAUGACUUUGGGAGACCAGGGUUCAAAUCCCUGCUUAGCCU